GCGAGUGUAGCUCAAUGGUAGAGCCUCUGCCUUCCAAGCAGAUGGUGCGGGUUCGAUUCCCGUCACUCGCUCCA
rnacentral:tRNA from 3 species